CUUUGGACUUAUCAGCUACAAGCAGGGAGUUAAUGUUUGACGAAGAUCACACAAGCUGCACAAGAAAACCAUGUGCAAGGCCUUCUCUUCCUCCUUAUUUGCUUUACAAGGAACCACUGCAUCCCAGCUGAAAAUGCCUCAACAGGUGGAAGGUAUAUCUGCAAUGACACACAUAUUGUCAGCCCGUGCCCAUAUCCUCUGGGCUGGAGCCAGGAUCAGGGAUUAGCUGAACUCCCAAGCAGACCUGUCUAGUAUGGUGGAGCUUCAUGGACACUUCUGCACAUGGAUUAAAGGGCUAGAAGAGGAGACAUCAAAAAGAGCAAGAUGUAUACUCCAGCACUCCUUUCUUCGCUGACCCCACUUCAGCCAUCUCAGAGUUAUUUGCAGCAAUGCUUCAAGUAUGUUCCUCAGAUAGAUGAGCACUCCAGGCCAGAUUGAGUGAAGAUGUACAUUGUAUAAAAUCACUAAUUAUGCUUUCCUGAAAGCAGGGCUGGCACAGCCCUGCAUUUUGAGACAAAGAACUCCCAGGCAAGGGUGCCCUGUUGUUCUGCUCUUCUCAAGCUCCUUCAGCAAAUAUAUAUUAUGGAACAAGCAGUUUUGGAUUGGACAAGUAAUUAAGCAUUACAUAUACAUAUAUAGAAAAGGUAAGUUCCUUUUUAGUUAAUCAAUUCUGUGACU